rnacentral:rRNA from 1 species
AACGAACGCUGGCGGCAUGCCUAACACAUGCAAGUCGAACGAGACCUUCGGGUCUAGUUGCGCACGUGUGCGUAACGCGUGGGAACCUGCCCUUAGGUUCGGAAUACCUCCCCGCAAGGGGUGCUAAUACCGGAUAAUGUCUUCGGACCUAAGAUUUAUCGCCUUUGGGUGGGCCCGCGUUGGUUUAGCUAGUUGGUAGGGUAAAAGCCUACCAAGGCGACGAUCCAUAGCUGGUCUGAGAGGAUGAUCAGCCACACUGGGACUGAGACACGGCCCAGACGCCUACGGGAAGCAGGAGUGGGGAAUAAUGGACAAUGGGCGAAAGGCUGAUCCAGCAAGGCCGCGUGAGAGAUGAAGGGGUUAGGGUUGUAAAGCUCUUUUACCCGGGAUGAUAAUGACAGUACCGGGAGAAGAAGCACCGGCUAACUACGUG